GAUGAACGCUGGCGGCGCGCCUAACACAUGCCAGUCGAACGAUUAAAGCACCUUCGGGUGUGUAUAAAGUGGCGAACGGCUGAGUAACACGUGGGCAACCUGCCCCUUUCAUUGGGAUAGCCACGGGAAACCGUGGAUAAUACCGAAUACUUCGAGACUUCCGCAUGGAAGACUCGAGAAAGCUCCGGCGGAGAGGGAUGGGCCCGCGGCCUGUUAGCUUGUUGGGGGGGUAACGGCCUACCAAGGCAAUGAUGGGUAGCUGGGUUGAGAGACCGACCAGCCAGAUUGGGACUGAGACACGGCCCAGACUCCUACGGGAGGCAGCAGUGGGGAAUCUUGCACAAUGGGCGAAAGCCUGAUGCAGCGACGCCGCGUGCGGGAUGAAGGCCUUCGGGUUGUAAACCGCUUUCAGCAGGGACGAGGCGAAAGUGACGGUACCUGCAGAAGAAGCCCCGGCUAACUACGUG
rnacentral:rRNA from 1 species